GACGUAGGAGGCGAGCGUUGUCCGGAUUCAUUGGGCGUAAAGAGCGCGCAGGCGGCUUGGUAAGUCGGAUGUGAAAUCCCGAGGCUCAACCUCGGGUCUGCAUCCGAUACUGCCCGGCUAGAGGUAGGUAGGGGAGAUCGGAAUUCCUGGUGUAGCGGUGAAAUGCGUAGAUAUCAGGAGGAACACCAAUGGCGAAGGCAGCUCGCUGGAACGGUACUGACGCUGAGGCGCGAAAGCGUGGGGAGCGAACAGG
rnacentral:rRNA from 1 species